UUAAGUUUGAAAAAUAUUGAUUUAUUAACUAGAAUUUAACAUAACAUGCGUUCUAAGAAGAUUUUUGACAUGCUUGUAGCUUUACACUGGACAUGGCACGACCACUCAAACCGUUACAUGUAAAAGAAAAGGGCAAAUUAUUUUAUACAUCGGGUGGUGUAAUGCUCUUUCACUCAUAAAUAUGUGUGCCCUUUACAAAUGAAGAAGAGUGGACCCACAUAAAUGUGAGUGAGUUGCAUGUGCAGAGGGGCAGGCGCACUGAAUAAUAUCCGAAGAAAAAGAACAUGUCCAUUUCGAGGUUAAACUUUGUCAGCCACAUCUGAAUCCUGCUUGGUUUUCUCCGCCUCUUCCUUAACUUUUUGAUCUUCAACAUUAUUUACAUCAUCUUUUGGUAGUGGAACCACAACUGUGUUUAUAUCGUAGCAGAGGGUUGCACCUAGCUUCGCAACGUCAACGAUGUGUCCAGACAAUUCGCGAAGUUUUGGCUCCUGCACUGGUAAUUUCUUGGGCUUCCUGUAGAUAAAAUAAAGCAUCAUCUGGGCAAGGCCGAAGAGAAAGCCCAAUAUAUUUGGAACCUGUCCAUGAAAAGAAAAAUAAAAUGCAAGUGGAAGUUAAUCAAAGGGGAAGAAAAAGUUUCUUGUUGAUAAUUAAUGGGAAAGAAACAAUACUAAAAGUAAAAAAGUUAGUGGAAUGAAGAUAGAUGUACAUGCAUGAUGAUGCAUGUAUACAUAUUGCACAGUUAACUUACGGCAACAUAAAGGUCUUUCUUUAGAAAACCAUAGAAGAACCACAUGACUGCAGUCAAGGUGAGGAAGAAUGAUAAAGAAAAUGGCAUGAACUCGACGCUCUUGGUUUUUAUCACUUUUCUCACGAUGCACAUAGGUGCAACAAACACGCAUAAAGCAAAUAUCAUACAAAUCCAUCCAAGAACAUCAACACGCUUUCGGCCAUGUGUUAGGGACAGAGUUAAGAUGCAGAUAAUUCCGAACCCAAAAACAUUGAAGAAGAGGAGAAGUUUUGUAGUGAACAUCCUGUCGUUCUUUGUGGCAUAGAUAAGGUACACAGUAAUGUAGCCAAUCUCCAUGAAGAAUGUGAAGGAGUUGAUGGUGAUGAGAAGCGUGGAAUCGUCAUCAAAAAUUGCAUAGAACAACCACAGCAUAGCACUAAACAGUGCAAUCACAUAUGGAAUGGACUGGAAUCCUUCACUUGUUUUCUUCUUGAAAAUUUGGUAAAAAGUUGGAAGAGGAGCAAGGCAAACCAUGGCGGAGAUGAUGUUAGCUAAAACACCAAAAAUGAAGUCCCAUGUCAGGUGCAAGGCCAUCUCUAGCCAGCUAAUAUGCUAGCUACUCUUUCUCUCUGAAGCAGCUGCUUUCUGAAGAGGAAACUCUGGCUAUG
rnacentral:misc_RNA from 1 species